rnacentral:rRNA from 1 species
AACGAACGCUGGCGGCAGGCUUAACACAUGCAAGUCGAACGCUCGUAGCAAUACGGGAGUGGCGGACGGGUGAGUAACGCGUGGGAACGUGCCCUGAGGUACGGAAUAACUGCGGGAAACUGCAGCUAAUACCGUAUGAGCCCUAACGGGGGAAAGAUUUAUCGCCUUGGGAGCGGCCCGCGUCGGAUUAGCUAGUUGGUGGGGUAACGGCCUACCAAGGCUUCGAUCCGUAGCUGGUCUGAGAGGACGAUCAGCCACACUGGGACUGAGACACGGCCCAGACUCCUACGGGAGGCAGCAGUGGGGAAUCUUGCGCAAUGGGGGCAACCCUGACGCAGCCAUGCCGCGUGAAUGAUGAAGGCCUUAGGGUUGUAAAGUUCUUUUGCCCGUGACGAUGAUGACGGUAACGGGAGAAUAAGCUCCGGCUAACUUCGUG